UUGCUCUGGUUUCUCUAAAAUCAUACAUAAAUCUUUUGCUUUUUACUAAAGAUUUCUGUGGAGAGAAACAUCAAUGAGUUUGAUGUAUUUUUAUGAGCUUUGUUCUGGCAAAACU